AGAUAGAUAGAUAGAUAGAUAGAGAUAACUAGAUAAUUGUUGUUCUGCACUUUGGCCUGUUGUGCUAUGCAUGCACGUUCUCAUUCAUAAAAGAAGGACAAUUCGGCCUCCAGCCCAGGUCUUUCUUUCUUUUCUUUUUUUUUUUUUUUACCUCCCCCCGCCCCCCCGAACACUUGGCUGGAGCCCCUUUUGUCUUGAUUGGAGCCCCUCACACAAACACACCCAUUCCACAACUACUCACCCUACUACUGAUCUUUUGAUACUUUGUUCUCUGACGAAUGGUCCAAGCAUCGCCAUAUACAGUGAGUAGAACACUGACCCCCCCCCCCCAUUCAAACGGCAGCUUUUUGAAAACCCAAGAUAUUCCAUUUGAAAUGUUGACCUUCUCCCAUUUAAAGGUGCGCAAACCCGUGCCAUUUUAUUUUUGCCAUUUGUAAAAGUACUUUUAUCAUCAUUUUAAUAAGCUCUCUUUUUCUCUAAGCAGAGCUCGCUGCCUCAUCGUGGGAAUCUGGCCGCCUAUCCUCUCAUUGUUCUGUCGGUUUGUGUGGACGUGACCCAACCACCGACACAGCGCUCUCCUCCCCCGCCCAGUGUGUGCUCUGCAUUCUUCGGGCCUCUGUAUUUUUUGGAGAAGAGGUGUCACCAAAGACAGCCCCAAAUCCAGCCUUCAGAAUGACGGACGGCUGUUGCGCUUGUGAGUUGCUCACGUCCACCUCCAGCCAUUACAUCUGGAGCAAGAUGGCUCCACUUGGCAACAGUUGAAGCCUUCCCCAGCUGCCAUGGCAACCCGCGCUGGUACAGCAUGACAGACAGACAGCCAGGUAAGUGAUAUUAAAACCAGAAAAAAUCAGCUUUUGCUGUAACCGCUUGAUAUGUCAGCCAGCACUCGCAUC